UGACAAGUGACCUGCCCAAGGCCACAUAGGCAGGAGUCCAACCCUGGGCUGGUGCAUGUGGACCAUGUGGGUACACCGACGGUUGUUCCUUUGUUUUUCUCCCAGCGCCCUGUUCACAUAAAGUGACGAUCUGCCA